rnacentral:lncRNA from 1 species
GCUAGACAAGGAGGGCUCUGCAAACAUAUGGCGUGGCCUGGGGCUGUCAGACAGUAGUGUCGCUGCAGGACACGGAGGAGACUGGCAGCGAGGCAGCAGGGUCGGCAGGAGCCCAUAAAGGUUCUGAUGACGCAUUCCUCAGGCCCAAUCCGUAGAGCAGGAGGAAUCUAACUGGUGUCCGAGAAGAUGUGUUUGACCUAUGGUGCCAGCCUUCAGUUUCUCAGAAGACAUAUGGGACCCAGAUAAAUCAGACAUUGAAUGCGCUGACGAGAGUCGCUGAGGACCCAAGAGAAAAGGCUUUUUUGGUUUGGAUUUCAUCUGUAUUUCACCACUUGAAAAUUCACUAUUGGCAUCGGGCAUGUAUAGACUCCCAUCAAGGCACACUGACCCUGAAAAAUGGCUGAGCUAAAAUAAAAGCUGUGUUUAUAACGCUGAAACGAAAUACUGAGUUCUAAAUCUGGUGAUUUAUCUUUUGACAGCUACAAAGUGCGACACAUCAACAUUACAUUGCCAGAUUUAAUUUCUCAUCUUCCAUUUCAUUGAUAAUUGUAAGGUUUAAAAUCCAUAACAAUUUAUAUGAAGUUCUAGUUGGUCAAUACUGUGAUCCAGUCCUCAUACUGAAACAAUGUUAACUUACUUAAAAUCCACCACAAAAUAUUCAAUUAUUUGACAGAUGUUUAACAGAAAGAAUAAGGGAUCAUUAAUGAUUCCAUUUAAAAAAUAUUUCAUCACGAGUGCUACUUUUACUUCAGAUUCAUGCAAAUAUGGUGCUUAAAACUGGAUCAUAUUUCAAUCCAAAAACCAACGCCCGAAGUAUACGGAUAAUUUCCAAGAACAGAAAAACCAUAAAUAAGAUAUAAACUCCCCCAAAUUCAAAAUAAAUUACAUAACUUAC